GAAAAACGUGGCAGACCAUCUGCGACUCGGGGUCGUCAGGCUGCGCCUUGAUCAGGUGGGUGCUGUCACAGGAAUUGUCUGGGCAGGGACAUGUGAGUGGAAGUAGCUUGGGCCAUGUGUUGGCUUAGAAGCUUCCAUUGCUAGCAAGGCCUCAUCUCGCUCUCCAGCCUCCCAGCCCUGCGGAAACCUGAUCACAUGGAAGACGUUCCUCUGGUCAUAGCAACCCAGACACGGAGCCAACAAGGAAGACAGCUGUCCGGGAGACUCUCCAGACACGCAGCGAACUUAGCAUUGACAUAAUGGAGUAUUUCACAACAGAUAUAAAGGCUAAAGGCAAAGCCCAGAUGCUACUGAAAUAUGUACUAUAUUAAAGAGUUCUUAAGAAGAAAUGAGCUCUGCUGCCAAGAUGUGAUCCUGGGGGCCGCAUGUGUGUGCGGCCUCUCCGCAGCUGCACGAGCGUGACUCCAGAUGCCAGCUAAAUUUUUCGGCACGGGCAGCUCCUUGCAGAAUGUCUCCAGACUGAGAACUAAGCCGCGGCCCCAUGCCCGCCCAGGAGGGGAAAGGUAUUUCUCUCUCUCGCCUCUUCCUUGCGGGGGGUGAAGGGCGUGGUGACAGCCAUAUUAUGACGACCACAGAUGGGGUUUGCAAGCUUGUAAUGAUCCAGUAUCUGGAGAAAUCUCCCUGGACUUAGUUGCUAAAGUACAGAAAUCCAAAAACUGUGCGUCCGCGAUAGUAGCCGCGUGACCUCAUUUCUCUUCACAACAGGUCUGACUCUAGUGGGGUGCUCCUAACAAUAAUAGUGAGGUUUGUGUUGAAAUAUUGAAUGUAACCAAAGUAAAUAGAAAG